rnacentral:ncRNA from 2 species
CGCAGAUAAGAAGUUUCAGGUGCCUGUUGGCAGCAACAGGAGAAUCGGGAAUGCGGUGGAAUUCCGCAACGUGCCCAACGCUGUGAUGGGAUGGGUUUGAACGGGUUUCGGAUGUUUCUGAGCCAGCCACUGGAUGAAUUUCCGGGAAGGCGUUCAAAUCGGCAACCCCCAAGUCAGAAGGCCGGCCUGAAAUCAGUUUGACGG